GCCUUUCCAAGUUUCAAACAUGAGAGUGUCGUCUGGUUGGCCAUCUAGUGGAUAAAAUGUUACCUCCAUUCAUUACAACUUUCAGAGCCAAUGCACCAAGGUAUUCAGGAUGAGGUUUUUUUUUAUGCUUCGGCCCCCACCCCUUAAACUACCUGCACACUACUGGUAUGCAGUAACAAUCUAGAUAAGGAAUCGUCUAUUUCCAGUUUGUACAUACUUUUAAUCUUUGGUAACAUGUCGUGUUUAAUGUUCAUACAUAAAGGGCAAAGUUUACUGGAGUCAAAUUCCUUGCAUGUUUACAGCUACUUGGCCAAAAGUAUGUCUUAUUUAUUUCUGCACAGAUCUGUUGGAAAUAAAAGAAUAAUAUCAGGACCCUCUCCUCUGGAAUCAUCUACCAGUAGAGGUGUGGGGGGCAGACACUCUCUCUGUCUUUAAGAGUAGGCUCAAAGCUUUUCUUUUUGAUAAGGUGUAUAGUUGGUUCAGAUUUGGGAGGUCUUUAGUUGUGCUGCUAUAGGUUUAGACUUCUGGGUGAACUGGCAC